rnacentral:rRNA from 1 species
GAUGAACGCUGGCGGCGUGCCUAAUACAUGCAAGUCGAGCGAACAGACGAGGAGCUUGCUCCUCUGACGUUAGCGGCGGACGGGUGAGUAACACGUGGAUAACCUACCUAUAAGACUGGGAUAACUUCGGGAAACCGGAGCUAAUACCGGAUAAUAUAUUGAACCGCAUGGUUCAAUAGUGAAAGACGGUUUUGCUGUCACUUAUAGAUGGAUCCGCGCCGCAUUAGCUAGUUGGUAAGGUAACGGCUUACCAAGGCAACGAUGCGUAGCCGACCUGAGAGAGUGAUCGGCCACACUGGAACUGAGACACGGUCCAGACGCCUACGGGAGGCAGCAGUAGGGAAUCUGCCGCAAUGGGCGAAAGCCUGACGGAGCAACGCCGCGUGAGUGAUGAAGGUCUUCGGAUCGUAAAACUCUGUUAUUAGGGAAGAGCAAAUGUGUAAGUAACUAUGCACGUCUUGACGGUACCUAAUCAGAAAGCCACGGCUAACUACGUG